rnacentral:hammerhead_ribozyme from 1 species
AUUCAGCUGACGAGUCCCAAGUAAGACGAAACACGCGUCCUGGAU